CCCUAGUAACUGCGAGUGAAGCGGGAAAAGCUCAAAUUUAAAAUCUGGCGGUCUUUGGCCGUCCGAGUUGUAAUCUAGAGAAGUAAUGCCCGUGCUGGACCGUGUAUAAGUCUCCUGGGAUGGGGCGUCAUAGAGGGUGAGAAUCCCGUCUUUGACACGGACUACCAGUGCAUUGUGGUAUGCUCUCAAAGAGUCGAGUUGUUUGGGAAUGCAGCUCAAAAUGGGUGGUAAAUUCCAUCUAAAGCUAAAUAUUGGCGAGAGACCGAUAGCGAACAAGUACCGUGAGGGAAAGAUGAAAAGAACUUUGGAAAGAGAGUUAAACAGUACGUGAAAUUGCUGAAAGGGAAACGCUUGAAGUCAGUCGCGUUGGCCAGGGAUCAGCCUUGCUUUUGCAUGGUGUACUUUCUGGUUGACGGGUCAGCAUCAAUUUUGACCGCUGGAAAAGGGCCUGGGGAAUGUGGCAGCUUCGGCUGUGUUAUAGCCCCUGGUCGCAUACAGUGGUUGGGAUUGAGGAACUCAGCACGCCGCAAGGCCGGGUUUCGACCACGUUCGUGCUUAGGAUGCUGGCAUAAUGGCUUUAAGCGACCCGUCUUGAAACACGGACCAAGGAGUCUAACAUGCCUGCGAGUAUUUGGGUGGAAAACCCGAGUGCGCAAUGAAAGUGAAAGUUGAGAUCCCUGUCGUGGGGAGCAUCGACGCCCGGACCAGAACUUUUGGGACGGAUCCGCGGUGGAGCAUGUAUGUUGGGACCCGAAAGAUGGUGAACUAUGCCUGAAUAGGGUGAAGCCAGAGGAAACUCUGGUGGAGGCUCGUAGCGAUUUCUGACGUGCAAAUCGAUCGUCAAAUUUGGGUAUAGGGGCGAAAGACUAAUCGA
rnacentral:rRNA from 1 species